UUGAGGCAUUUUAAUUUUUUUUUUUUUUGCCAUAGACACUGUCAGCACAAUCUGCAGUUACACUAACAAAAAUGCUGCAAAAAACAAAGAAUUAUGGAAAAAUUACACAUGGACUAACAUAGAGGAGGAUCUACACAAGUUUUUUACAUCAUGUUUUACAUCAUGCAUCAUUUACAUCAUGUUUUUUUGUAGUGGCAUAAAUAAAAAGUGACAUUUGUGAGACUAUACAGUGUUUUGUAAAUAAUUUUACAAAGAACACCUGGGCCAUUGCCUGCAUUUUGAUGUCAAUAGAGGUAAAUUACUAUGUUCUUUGUUAAAAAUUUGCAUAUGUUUUGAAGUUUACAAUUUUUAUUUGAAGUUUAAGUUUUAAAAACAGUUCAUCACACAUAUUUGUGGUUUUCACAGUAAAAACGUUACUUUUUUCCACUCGGAUUUUAUGUUUUGUGUGUGAAUUUGGGUCCAAUGUGUAAAUAUAGUAUGUCAAAAUGAUAAAAUAACUGUAAAUUGACACAGGUGAGGUUGUGCUGAAAAAAAUGAUACCAGGCAAGGCAAGGUAAAAAUUUUGUAAGAGGAAAUAUAAAGGUAAAAUCUAAAGUAGUCAAAAACGGCCAAUAGUGACUCACAGACUCCACAGACAAGUCCCUUUGGCGCCACUCAGUGGGCAAAACUACUUUGUCUACUGUAAUGUAUAUUUGGGUCAUCUUUGGCGCCCCCUAAAACGUAAACCGUGGGGUGCAGCGUCAUGAUUUUUACAACUUUGAAUGGCCAUGGAGUGUAGAUUGGCCUGAGCAAAUUUGGUGUCAGUGGGACGAAAGCCUUAGGAGAAGUUAGCGAAAUUCCAAUGUGUGCGAAUCGGCAAAAAAUGCAAAAUAGCCCUUUUACCGUACAUUAUACAGAUACGCGCUCUUUGACUUUUUCGUAGAUCUAAUUGAGAUACACAUGAUUGUCAAUUUUUGUGUCAUUUUGCCAAAGCGUACAGGCGUGACAGUCAACAAUGUGUAUUUUCACCUUAGGGGACAAGAAAAAAUGGACUUUUUUCUCCUGCCAUGGGGGGGCGCUCUUUUGGGGAGUAAAAAUUCCUUCACAAAUGUGUUGAUGGCUGGACAUUGCAUCAUCCUAGAAAACUUGGAGGCCAGUGAGGACAAAAAUAAAAAGUUAUAAGACUUUUAAAAAUGUGGAUUUUUGGGUUAUCUUUGGCGCCCCCUAGAACGUAAACCGUGGGGUGCAGCGUCAUGAUUUGAAUAACUUUUAAUGGCCAUGGGGUGUAAUUUGGCCUGAGCAAAUGUGGUGCCGGUGGAACGAAAGCCUUCGGAGGAGUUAGCGAAAUUCCAAUGUGUGCGAAUCGGCAAAAAAUGCAAAAUAGCCCUUUAACCGUACAUUAGACAGAUACGCGCGGAUGGACUUUUUUGUAGAUCUUAUUGAGAUACAUGUGUGUGUCAAUUUUUGUGUCAUUUUGACAAAGCGUACAGGCGUGACACUCAACAAUGUGUAUUUUCACCUUAGGGGACAAGAAAAAAAUGGACUUUUUUCUCCUGCCAUGGGGGGGCGCUCUUUUGGGGAGUAAAAAUUCCUUCACAAAUGUGUUGAUGGCUGGACAUUGCAUCAUCCUAGAAAACUUGGAGGCCAGUGAGGGCAAAAAUAAAAAGUUAUAAGACUUUUAAAAAUGUGGAUUUUAGGGUUAUCUUUGGCGCCCCCUAGAACCUAAACCGUGGGGUGCAGCGUCAUGAUUUGAAUAACUUUUAAUGGCCAUGGGGUGUAGAUUGGCCUGAGCAAAUGUGGUGCCGGUGGAACGAAAGCCUUCGGAGGAGUUAGCGAAAUUCCAAUGUGUGCGGAUCGGCAAAAAAUGCGAAAUAACCCUUUAACCGUACAUUUGACAGAUACGCCCGCACUGACUUUUUUGUAGAUCUUAUUGAGAUACAUGUGUGUGUCAAUUUUUGUGUCAUUUUGACAAAGCGUACAGGCGUGACAGUCAAUAGUGUGAAUUUUCACCUUAGGGGGCGCUAUGGAGCCAUUUUGCAUUUUCUUGUUUGGGCGACUUCGGAAUAUCAAAUUUUUUACCAGGCCCGGUCGUCCUGCCAAAUUUCCUGAGUUUUCGCCAGUGGGAAGUGGGCCAUUUUCCAGUUCAAAGGGGAGGAAAAAGAAGAAAGAAAGAAACAAAGACUAGGGCCCCGUUGGGGCACUGGCGGGCCCGAGCCGUGUCACGCCGCCCCCAGCGCGACCGCCUCCCCCACCCGAUCGCGUCACACUCAAGGUCCAAAGAUGGUGUGCGCACUUGUUUGUGGUCAUUUACCAUUAUAAUGAACGGGAGGCGCAGUUUCUACCAAAACGCUCGCUGCAGAAAAACUCCAUGUCCUAUUUGAAAAAAGUCUGGACCAUGAGUGAGGGCACAAACACAGCUAAGAUAUAUCCAAAUGGCAAGUUGCUCCUCCUUUCGCUUUUGCCGAGAGAGCAGUGCGUUUGAGCCAUUGAAUGAUGAACAGGAAAAACUUGACUUUAUUCUCCUGCCAUGGGGGGGCGCUCUUUUAACGAGAAAAAACUCCUUCACAAAUGUGUUGAUGGCUGGACAUUGCAUCAUCCUAGAAAACAUGGAGGCCAGUGAGGACAAAAAUAAAAAGUUAUAAGACUUUUAAAUAUGUGGAUUUUACGGUUAUCUUUGGCGCCCCCUAGAACCUAAACCGUGGGGUGCAGCGUCAUGAUUUGAAUAACUUUUAAUGGCCAUGGGGUGUAGAUUGGCCUGAGCAAAUGUGGUGCCGGUGGAACGAAAGCCUUCGGAGGAGUUAGCGAAAUUCCAAUGUGUGCGAAUCUGCAAAAAAUGCGAAAUAACCCUUUAACCGUACAUUUGACAGAUACGUGGCCAUUGACUUUUUCGAAGAUCUUAUUGAAAUACACGUGUGUGUAAAAUUUUGUGUCAAUACGACAAAACAUACAGGCGUAGCACUCAACAAUGUGUAUUUUCACCUUAGUGGACAAGAAAAAAUGGACUUUUUUCUCCUGCCAUGGGGGGCGCUCUUUUGGCGAGUAAAAAUUCCUUCACAAAUGUGUUGAUGGCUGGACAUUGCAUCAUCCUAGAAAACUUGGAGGCCAGUGGGGACAAAAAUAAAAAGUUAUAAGACUUUUAAAUAUGUGGAUUUUACGGUUAUCUUUGGCGCCCCCUAGAACCUAAACCGUGGGGUGCAGCGUCAUGAUUUGAAUAACUUUUAAUGGCCAUGGGGUGUAGAUUGGCCUGAGCAAAUGUGGUGCCGGUGGAACGAAAGCCUUCGGAGGAGUUAGCGAAAUUCCAAUGUGUGCGGAUCGGCAAAAAAUGCGGAAUAACCCUUUAACUGUACAUUUGACAGAUACGCGCGCAUUGACUUUUUCGUAGAUCUUAUUGAGAUACAUGUGUGUGUCAAUUUUUUGUGUCAUUUUGCCAAAGCGUACAGGUGUUACACUCAACAAUGUGUAUUUUCACCUUAGGGGACAAGAAAAAAUGGACUUUUUUCUCCUGCCAUGGGGGGGCGCUCUUUUGGGGAGUAAAAAUUUCUUCACAAAUGUGUUGAUGGCUGGACAUUGCAUCAUCCUAGAAAACUUGGAGGCCAGUGAGGGCAAAAAUAAAAAGUUAUAAGACUUUUAAAUAUGUGGAUCUUAGGGUUAUCUUUGGCGCCCCCUAGAACCUAAACCGUGGGGUGCAGCGUCAUGAUUUGAAUAACUUUUAAUGGCCAUGGGGUGUAGAUUGGCCUGAGCAAAUGUGGUGCCGGUGGAACGAAAGCCUUCGGAGGAGUUAGCGAAAUUCCAAUGUGUGCGGAUCGGCAAAAAAUGCGAAAUAACCCUUUAACCGUACAUUUGACAGAUACGCCCGCACUGACUUUUUUGUAGAUCUUAUUGAGAUACAUGUGUGUGUCAAUUUUUGUGUCAAUAUGACAAAGCGUACAGGCGUGACAGUCAAUAGUGUGAAUUUUCACCUUAGGGGGCGCUAUGGAGCCAUUUUGCAUUUUCUUGUUUGGGCGACUUCGGAAUAUCAAAUUUUUCACCAGGCCCGGUCGUCCUGCCAAAUUUCAUGAGUUUUCGCCAGUGGGAAGUGGGCCAUUUUCCAGUUCAAAGGGGAGGAAAAAUAAUAAUAACUAGGGCCCCGGUGGGGCACUGUCGGGCCCGAGCCGCAUCGCACCGCCCCCAGCGCGACCGCCUGGUGUGCACUUGUCUGUGGUCAUUUCCCAUUAUAAUGAAUGGGGGGCGCAGUUUCUACCAAAACACUCGCUGCAGACAAACUACAUGUCCUAUUUGAAAAAAGUCUGGACCAUGAGUGAGGGCACAAACACAGCUAGGAUAUAUCCAAACGGCAAGUUGCUCCUCGUUACGGUGUUGCCGGGAGAGCGAUGCGAUUGAGCCAUUGAGUGAUGGGCAGGAAAAACUUGACUGUUUCUCCUGCCAUGGGGGGUGGGGGAUGGGGGGGAUGUGGAUUCUUUUAAGAAUGUGGAUAUUUGGGUCAUCUUUGGCGCCCCCUAGAACGUAAACCGUGGGGUGCAGCGUCAUGAUUUUUACAACUUUGAAUGGCCAUGGGGUGUAGAUUGGCCUGAGCAAAUUUGGUGUCAGUGGGACGAAAGCCUUAGGAGGAGUUAGCCACAUUCCAAUGUGUGCGAAUCGGCAAAAAAUGCAAAAUAGCCCUUUAACCGUACAUUUGACAGAUACGCGCGCAUUGACUUUUUUGUAGAUCUUAUUGAGAUACAUAUGUUUGUCAAUUUUUGUGUCAAUAUGAUAAAGCGUACAGGCGUGACAGUCAAUAGUGUGAAUUUCCACCUUAGGGGACAAGAAAAAAUUGACUUUUUUCUCCUGCCAUGGGGGGGCGCUCUUUUGGGGAGUAAAAAUUCCUUCACAAAUGUGUUGAUGGCUGGACAUUGCAUCAUCCUAGAAAACUUGGAGGCCAGUGAGGACAAAAAUAAAAAGUUAUAAGACUUUUAAGACUGUGGAUUUUAGGGUUAUCUUUGGCGCCCCCUAGAACCUAAACCGUGGGGUGCAGCGUCAUGAUUUGAAUAACUUUUAAUGGCCAUGGGGUGUAGAUUGGCCUGAGCAAAUGUGGUGCCGGUGGAACGAAAGCCUUCGGAGGAGUUAGCGAAAUUCCAAUGUGUGCGGAUCGGCAAAAAAUGCGGAAUAACCCUUUAACCGUACAUUUGACAGAUACGCGCGCAUUGACUUUUUCGUAGAUCUUAUUGAGAUACAUGUGUGUGUCAAUUUUUGUGUCAUUUUGCCAAAGCGUACAGGUGUUACACUCAACAAUGUGUAUUUUCACCUUAGGGGACAAGAAAAAAUGGACUUUUUUCUCCUGCCAUGGGGGGGCGCUCUUUUGGGGAGUAAAAAUUCCUUCACAAAUGUGUUGAUGGCUGGACAUUGCAUCAUCCUAGAAAACUUGGAGGCCAGUGAGGGCAAAAAUAAAAAGUUAUUAGACUUUUAAAUAUGUGGAUCUUAGGGUGAUCUUUGGCGCCCCCUAGAACCUAAACCGUGGGGUGCAGCGUCAUGAUUUGAAUAACUUUUAAUGGCCAUGGGGUGUAGAUUGGCCUGAGCAAAUGUGGUGCCGGUGGAACGAAAGCCUUCGGAGGAGUUAGCGAAAUUCCAAUGUGUGCGGAUCGGCAAAAAAUGCGAAAUAACCCUUUAACCGUACAUUUGACAGAUACGCCCGCACUGACUUUUUUGUAGAUCUUAUUGAGAUACAUGUGUGUGUCAAUUUUUGUGUCAUUUUGACAAAGCGUACAGGCGUGACAGUCAAUAGUGUGAAUUUUCACCUUAGGGGGCGCUAUGGAGCCAUUUUGCAUUUUCUUGUUUGGGCGACUUCGGAAUAUCAAAUUUUUCACCAGGCCCGGUCGUCCUGCCAAAUUUCAUGAGUUUUCGCCAGUGGGAAGUGGGCCAUUUUCCAGUUCAAAGGGGAGGAAAAAUAAUAACUAGGGCCCCGUUGGGGCACUGGCGGGCCCGAGCUGUGUCGCGCCGCCCCCAACGCGACCGCCUCUCCCUUCCGAUUGCGUCACACUCAAGGUCCAAAAAUGGUGUGCGCACUUGUCUGUGGUCAUUUACCAUUAUAAUGAAUGGGAGGCGCAGUUUCUACCAAAACGCUCGCUGCAGACAAACUACAUGUCCUAUUUGAAAAAAGUCUGGACCAUGAGUGAGGGCACAAACACAGCUAGGAUAUAUCCAAAUGGCAAGUUGCUCCUCCUUUCGGUUUUGCCGAGAGAGCGAUGUGUUUGAGCCAUUGAGCGAUGGGCAGGAAAAACUUGACUUUUUCUCCUGCCAGGGGGGGGGGGGGGCGCUCUUUUGGGGAGUAAAAAUUCCUUCACAAAUGUGUUGAUGGCUGGACAUUGCAUCAUCCAAGAAAACUUGGAGGCCAGUGAGGACAAAAAUAAAAAGUUAUAAGACUUAUAAAUAUGUGGAUUUUAGGGUUAUCUUUGGCGCCCCCUAGAACCUAAACCGUGGGGUGCAGCGUCAUGAUUUGAAUAACUUUGAAUGGCCAUGGGGUGUAGAUUGGCCUGAGCAAAUGUGGUGCCGGUGGAACGAAAGCCUUCGGAGGAGUUAGCGAAAUUCCAAUGUGUGCAUAUCGGCAAAAAAUGCAAAAUAACCCUUUAACCGUACAUUUGACAGAUACGCGCACAUUGACUUUUUCGUAGAUCUUAUUGAGAUACAUGUGUGUGUCAAUUUUUGUGUCAUUUUGCCAAAGCGUACAGGCGUGACACUCAACAAUGUGUAUUUUCACCUUAGGGGACAAGAAAAAAUUGACUUUUUUCUCCUGCCAUGGGGGGGGCGCUCUUUUGGGGAGUAAAAAUUCCUUCACAAAUGUGUUGAUGGCUGGACAUUGCAUCAUCCAAGAAAACUUGGAGGCCAGUGAGGACAAAAAUAAAAAGUUAUAAGACUUAUAAAUAUGUGGAUUUUAGGGUUAUCUUUGGCGCCCCCUAGAACCUAAACCGUGGGGUGCAGCGUCAUGAUUUGAAUAACUUUGAAUGGCCAUGGGGUGUAGAUUGGCCUGAGCAAAUGUGGUGCCGGUGGAACGAAAGCCUUCGGAGGAGUUAGCGAAAUUCCAAUGUGUGCGGAUCGGCAAAAAAUGCAAAAUAACCCUUUAACCGUACAUUUGACAGAUACGCGCGCAUUGACUUUUUCGUAGAUCUUAUUGAGAUACAUGUGUGUGUCAAUUUUUGUGUCAUUUUGCCAAAGCGUACAGGCGUGACACUCAACAAUGUGUAUUUUCACCUUAGGGGACAAGAAAAAAUGGACUUUUUUCUCCUGCCAUGGGGGGGCGCUCUUUUGGGGAGUAAAAAUUCCUUCACAGAUGUGUUGAUGGCUGGACAUUGCAUCAUCCUAGAAAACUUGGAGGCCAGUGAGGACAAAAAUAAAAAGUUAUAAGACUUUUAAAUUUGUGGAUUUUAGGGUUAUUUUUGGCGCCCCCUAGAACCUAAACCGUGGGGUGCAGCGUCAUGAUUUGAAUAACUUUUAAUGGCCAUGGGGUGUAGAUUGGCCUGAGCAAAAUUGUUGCCGGUGGAACGAAAGCCUUCGGAGGAGUUAGCGAAAUUCCAAUGUGUGCGGAUCGGCAAAAAAUGCGAAAUUGCCCUUUAACCGUACAUUUUACAGAUACGCGCCCUUUGACUUUUUCGUAGAUCUUAUUGAGAUACACGUGAUUGUCAAAUUUUUGUGUCAAUAUGACAAAACAUACAGGCGUAGCACUCAACAAUGUGUAUUUUCACCUUAGUGGACCAGAAAAAAUUGACUUUUUUCUCCUGCCAUGGGGGGGCGCUCUUUUGGGGAGUAAAAAUUACUUCACAAAUGUGUUGAUGGCUGGACAUUGCAUCAUCCUAGAAAACUUGGAGGCCAGUGGGGACAAAAAUAAAAAGUUAUAAGACUUUUAAAUAUGUGGAUUUUAGGGUUAUCUUUGGCGCCCCCUAGAACCUAAACCGUGGGGUGCAGCGUCAUGAUUUGAAUAACUUUUAAUGGCCAUGGGGUGUAGAUUGACCUGAGCAAAUGUUGUGCCGAUGGAACGAAAGUCUUCAGAGGAGUUAGCGAAAUUCCGAUGUGUGUGGAUCGGCAAAAAAUGCGAAAUAAACCUUUAACCGUAAAUUUGACAGAUACGCCCGCACUGACUUUUUCGUAGAUCUUAUUGAGAUACAUGUGUGUGUCAAUUUUUGUGUCAUUUUGCCAAAGCGUAAAGGCGUGACAGUCAAUAGUGUGAAUUUUAACCUUAGGGGGCGCUAUGGAGCCAUUUUGCAUUUUAUUGUUUGGGCGACUUCAGAAUAUCAAAUUUUUCACCAGGCCCGGUCGUCCUGCCAAAUUUCAUGAGUUUUCGCCAGUGGGAAGUGGGCCAUUUUCCAGUUCAAAGGGGAGGAAAAAUAAUAAUAAUAACAAAAGAAGGAAACAUGCAGGAACAAGAGGGCUCUCGCAGCUGCUUAGCAGCUACGCUCGGGCCCUAAUAAUAACAAAAGAAGGAAACUACAGGAACAAGAGGGCUCUCGCAGCUGCUUAGCAGCUACGCUCGGGCCCUAAUAACAAAAGAAGGAAACUACAGGAACAAGAGGGCUCUCGCAGCUGCUUAGCAGCUACGCUCGGGCCCUAACUAGGGCCCCGUUGGGGCACUGGCGGGCCCGAGCCGCGUUGCGCCGCCCCCAGUGCGACCGCC
rnacentral:lncRNA from 1 species